UGGAUUUCCUCUCUUUGAAUCAACAGUUCAUAAUUUUUAGUCAUUGCUCCCUUUUUUGUAGCUAGAAUUAGAGAGGAGGCAAAGGGUGGAAGGAAAAAAAGGAAAAAUCCCAAAGUGGCUGAUUGAAGAAGAGGAACAAAUGGGCAGGAAGGAUAGAGGAAGAGAGAGUCACGGGCCCUGGGAAUUGAAAAAGAAAGGUGCUCUGAACUUUGCUGAGAAGAAAGGCAGAAGAUGAAUUCAUUUCAGUGGGAAUCCAGCAAAAUAAUAUUUCAGCUCUGAUGUCACAGAUCUGUACGGAGAGUGGCCUGCCAACCUACAUCCACAAAGAGUCUACAAAACUUUUGUCCCAAACCACCGAGGAAAAUAAUGCUUCAGCCGGUGGCAGGGAACGCAGCCUCUCUUCUGGAGUCCAGCAGCAAGGAUGCAACUGCAGGCCCUCAAGAAGAGGAAGUAUCAUCUACUUUUUUGACUCCUCUGCAAACAGCCCCUAGCACUGCUCUCUACAGGAAACGCUGUGGAUGUUGAGUGAUGACCACGAUAAGAGGCCAGGGGAAGGAAAACCACAAGAGGGAUGGCAGCGUGCGAAGCCCUGGCUGGAGUGAACUGUUUUUAGUAUGCCUACAUGUGCCAGCCUGGAACAACGGUUUCCUUGCCUUCUUUUUUUCCUUCUUCAAUAGUCUUGGCACUAAAAGUCUAACCUCCCUCAUGAAAGUCAUGCCUGAGCAAAGCACCUCCCAUAGGAAACUUUGCCAAGAAAUCCUGCCAAGAAUCCUGGGUGCUGUGUGGCUUAGUUUAACGGUCAGGGUAGUUUAACUACAGAUCUUGAGACCUAUUGGGUCUCUGUGCAAGCAAAGUAUAGAGCUGAGCAUGAACUUGAGUAAAAAGGCCAGAGCUCCUGACCUACCCCCCUAAACAUCAUCAGGGUAAUGGUCUUUUAUAUUCAAUAAAUAUUU